GCAGCAGCCGCGGGAAUACGAAGGGUGCAAGCGUUACUCGGAAUUACUGGGCGUAAAGCGUGCGUAGGUGGUGGUUUAAGUCCGUUGUGAAAGCCCUGGGCUCAACCUGGGAAUUGCAGUGGAUACUGGGUCACUAGAGUGUGGUAGAGGAUAGUGGAAUUUCCGGUGUAGCAGUGAAAUGCGUAGAGAUCGGAAGGAACAUCUGUGGCGAAGGCGACUAUCUGGGCCAACACUGACACUGAGGCACGAAAGCGUGGGGAGCAAACAGGAUUAGAUACCCCCGUAGUCCCUGUCUCUUAUAC
rnacentral:rRNA from 1 species